AUUUAUUUCCUUUGUUCCAUAAAGGACUUUUUUUUUUUUUAAUUUUUGGAACUUUUGAUAUAAAAGGCGAACUUGGAGAGCACAGAUUUAUCUUCUUGACUCUAAGAGCGAGAAAACGUCAAUAUGCAAUAUUUGUUUGCUGUCUUGGUUUUGGUUGCUUUGGUGGCUUGUGCCUUUGCACAGUAUUGGCCCUACUACGGUGGUUACUAUGGAGCUGCCCAUACCUACAACUAUGCCUAUCCAUCGGCCUAUAAUUAUGCCUACAACCCCGCUCUCUCCUACUGGUGGAAGAAGUAAACCGAUUUCACUUGAUUUGUUUGAAAACCAGUACCUGUGAAGAGAAAGAACUGUUUCUUUUCUCAAAACUUGUACCUCUGAAGUGAAAGAAAAAUUGAGUUCGGGAUUAAUCAGUAAUUCAAACUGGCAAAAAGAACUUUGCCAACUUUGUUGAUUGAUUUUAAUGUAAAAAUUACAAUAGCUUAAAAAUAAAGUUUUAUAUUUUGAA